rnacentral:rRNA from 1 species
GAUAAACGCCUGGGACGGCGCACAUAAGACAUGCAAGUCGAACGGACUUAACCGAUUAGGUUACUAAGUUGGAGCGGUUAGUGGCGGACUGGUGAGUAACACGUAAGCAACCUGCCUAUCAGAGGGGAACAACAGUUAGAAAUGACUGCUAAUACCGCAUAUGCCUUGAGUAUCGCAUGGUACAGUUAGGAAAGGAGCAAUCCGCUAAUAGAUGGGCUUGCGUCUGAUUAGCUAGUUGGUGGGGUAACGGCCUACCAAGGCGACGAUCAGUAGCCGGACUGAGAGGUUGGCCCGCCACAUUGGGACUGAGACACGGCCCAG